CUCACCACCAGGCUGGCUAACUUUUCUAUUUUUAGUAGAGAUGAGGUUUUGCCAUGUUGGCCAGGCUAGUUUUGAUGUUCAUUAGAUUCAGCUGGUUGAUGGUGUUAAAUUCAACUAUGUCCUUAUCGGUUUUUCUGUCAAUUAGUGCUUGCUAGUUUCUGUCAAUUUCUGCUUGCUAUUUCUUUCCAUUAUUGAUAGAGGGGUGUUGAAGUCUCCAAUUAUGAUACUGGAUUCAUCUAUUUCUCAUUGCAGUUCUACUGGUUUUGCCUCACAUACUCUGUUAAGUGCACUGGUCAAAUAAAUAGUUGAGAAUGAGGUUUUCAAAGAGCUCUAGCGUUGUUUUCUCUGGUGGCUGCUAGGCUGCAACAGGAAUGUGGGCUGUAGUUAGUUUACUACAGCUGGACAGUGAGAAAUGCAACUAAUCCAAGUUAAAACAUGACCAAGGCUGUUGUUCUUAGGGAGAUUUAACAGUUUUUCUUGAAUAAAUGCUCCUGAGGUUGCUGACAGCCUUUAAUUUUCAGACUUCUGUUACAGUCAAGUUAGAAAAUUUGCCAGUUUUAUCACAGCUCUUAUUAAUGAGCUAAUUUUUGAAGUCAUUACUCUGCUAUUUUCACUGACAUCAUUUAGCAAAAGCUUUUUGACCAUUUGUGCUUUAAAGAUGAAAAUUUAUGUUGGUUUCCAUGAAGGGAUUAAAAAAAGGUGAAAAUUUAAUUUUUCUUAAAGGUAAUGAGAAACACUAAGAUUAAAUUACUAUUUUCUCAAUGAAAACACAUGGACACAAAGAGGGAACAGACACUAGGGCCUACUUGAGGGUUGGAGGGUGGCAGGAGGAACACGUUCAAAAAACCACCUAUUGGGUACCACGCUUAUUACCUGGGUAAUGAAAUAAUCCGUACACUAACCCCUUAUGGCCUGAAGUUUACUUACAUAACAAACCUGCACAUGUUCUCUUGAACCUAAAAUGUUUUAAAAAAUUAGUUUCCAAUUAAGGAAAUACUACUUCAGCCUGUAUUACAAUUCUCAUUAAGACAGUAGACAGGUGGGAAAUGAGACAACCACAAGGAAAUGAGAAGUAACACAAAAAGAGGGAUGAAGCAGACAGAUGGACACAUUUUAAGUGCUGGAGAGGGAGAGACGGAGAACCGAUUUAGAAUGAAGAGCACUAUAUAUCAGCAUUUUUUCUUCAUCUUAAAAGUAGUCACCAGCCAAGCUUUCUUAUAUUUUUUCAGAUUAGGAUGGGCUUUGGAAGGGAUGAGCACAGUAGCACACCAGAGAAGGGUCUGGUGCUACAUUUUUCUGGAGACCGGGGUAGGGGAAGAGGUUGGUGUUCUACCUUUGGAAAACAGCAGAUCCUACAACCAGAAAAUCAGUGGCACUGCCAAGCAAGAACUUUCCAACUCAAAAUACAUGUUUGCUGUCCAGUUUUAUAUCUGGACUACCCAUACUAUAAGGGUACCACAAAAUGGGAAGGAACAGGAAUAAAGGAAAGGCUACCAAGCAUACCCAUUGAAAAACUGAAAACAGCAACAAAUCUGUUGGCAUCAUUUUUAGCAAACCAGGGAAACGGAACCCCAACUGUCCUCCUCCAAAUGGCAGCGAAUACUGCCUCAUCCCAGAGGUAGGGCUUUGCCACGUGAUUUGUUAUGGCCAGUGGAGUGUUGGCAGAUGUGAUGCACGCAGAAGGCACGAACCAUACUUGUGUGGUUGGGCUUGCCUUCUUGUGUUUCUAUGAUCAGUGUGGAAACUUCUGUAUAACUUUUGUAUUUCAGCCCAGGCCCAAGGAUGAACAUAGAUGGAGCAGGUGGAAGCACAACUCAUAGCAGGUAGAAAAGCCCAGCCAGAGACCUAGCUUGAAGCAGUCACCCAAAUAAGCUAUGUCAGCCAAUCUGCAGAGGCAUGAGUAAGAAUAUUUCAAGCAACUGAGAUUUGGGGUGGCUAGGUGGAAACAGCAACUGAAACAUAAGUAGAUGUCAUUCUUUUAGGAUCCACUCCUGAAAGCAAACUAUGUUACCUCCCCCUUUACCGCUGUAUGCCGAGAAGCUAGCACAGUUCCUGGCACAGAGGAGGUGUUCAGUAAACAACUGUUGCAGACAGAUUUACAUGUUUCUUCUAAAAAUAGCCUAGGAGAAUAAAACUGAGGGAAACUUACAUAAUUUAGUGUUCAGUGUGUGCCUCAACUUCAAAAUCAACAAUUUGUACAAAGACCAGAAAGCAUGUCAGCAGUCAUUAGGGGGUAAGAGCACUAUGAACAUGACUGGCUGGAUUUGAAUCUAGGCUUCACAAAUUACCAGCCAGAUCACCUUGGCCAAAUGUCACGUCAUUUCCCUCUCUUUCCUCAUCUUUUAAAUGGUGCUAUAAAUAGUACCUACCACAUGGAACAGUUGUGUGGAUUAAGAGAUAAUUUAUUUCAAGUACUUACAACCUUGGCUGGUACAUGAUAAAUGCUGUAUAGGCAUUUUCUAUUAUUACCUGCAUAAAGACCAUUUUGAGAAAGGUUAUUAAAGCCAUCUUAAUCUGUUCCUCCAAUCACCUAUUUAUAUCUAUUUGUUAUCAUUUCUGUUAUCUAAUCUUGUACAUGUUUCCAAUUAGCUCCUUUGUAUAUUUUCAUCAUCUUUCUAUUCUCAGGAUUGCUAAGUGCCAAUACCCACUCUAUCCCAAAGCACCCCUCCACCAACUAUUUUAAGAACUGCUGAUUUUGUUCUUUUCACAUAGGAUAUCAUGUGCCCCCUUCUCCAUCUGUUCAAAUCAUAUCUGAUUCUCAAUGUCUAGCUAGUCUUCCAUGAUGCCUAUUCUGAUCUUCCCUCCCAAUGUGGUCUUAUUCUGUACCUUUUAGCAAUUCAUCUCUACCUCAAUUACACUUUUAUUACUUUCUACUUAUACCUUUCCACAAUAAAAUUGCAAAUUCCUGAAGGACAAGAUCACAAUUUCUUGGUUUUCUGCCCAUUCCCACUCCCAAAUAUACAGCAGGCAAGCAAUAUCUGUUGAAUAUAUUUGAAAAUCCCAUAUAGACAGGUUCAUUUAAAGUCUAAAAUAGCUUUACUAAAACACCAUUUUUUUUUUUAUUAAAAAAAGGAAAAAACUAGUCACAAUUCAUGCUAGACAGUUUAAGGGAAAAGAAUUUUGCAUGUAAAAGAGGCAGACAAUUUAUUGCAUUAAAAAAUUUUAUUUCUUUUAAAAGGUGCAAUAUAAGCCAAAUUAACCCCCAAAUUUACAGCUACACUUAGAGAUCUCCUGAACUAAAUGGCACUGAGUUGAGUGUCUUGUUAAAGGAGGUCAUUUGCUAUUACCACCAUUUCCCCCAAAGUAGUUCUAGAGCUGGUACUGUAUAAUACACAUCAGAUAUUUCAGAUGUCAUCUUUCAUGCAGAAUUUAAAUUAAGCAAACAGGCUUUUCUACUCUGUGUGAGGAUAAGAAACACUAUAGAACAGGGCCUGAAUGCUUUAGACAUACAAGGUGUAACCAUAAAGGAAAUUUCUACGGCUCUGUGUUCGUUCAUUGAAGUAGUUCAUGUACUUAUUCCAACAAUACUGGUGGUGGUCAGACACCAUUUGAGACAGUACUUUGGGGUUUCCCUUCAUUGGGUGCAGACCAAAGGAAGUGGUUAAGUUGGGCGGGGGGGAGCAGUGGCAACUCUCACAGAUGGACUACAAAAGUAAUGAAAAAGAUUUUAGUGGGCUGGCAUUCGCAAGAACUACCUCAAUGUUUUUGGUAACAGCAUCAUUUACAUAUAAAGUGAUGCAGGAUAAAAGUUCUGGUAUAUGUGAUAAAAACAGCUUGUCACUUUAUAGCUACACCUUGGAUUUCAUUAGAUGUGGCAAAUCUAAUAGUGUGUCAAAUAAGUCCUUCUGGAAAUCACUUCAGCAGAGAAGUCAAACAGCCUGUAAAAGAGAAGACAUGGCAGAAUGUGCGUGAUUCAUCCUUCCAACAUUCUCAGGGUUCUCAUGGAGGACAGACCCAGGCCCAAAGACAGAAGUUACCAGGAGAGAGGCUUCAACUCCAUCUAAGGAAGACCUUUCUAACAGUUAGAGCUGCUCAACAACUGAAUGGACUGCUUGGUGAGGUAGAGUCACUUGGAAGUGUUCAAGGUGGAAAGAUCACCCUUGUAGAAGGGACUCCUGCAUUUGUUAAGAGGUUAGAGAGUGGAUGAACCUCAGGUCUCUUUCAAUUCUGAGAUUCUAGAAAAUUCCCUCAGGGAAUUCAGAAGAGAAUUCCUAAAAGGAAAGAGAAAGCACACAUAUGUAUACUUUUAGAAUCUGCUUGAAUUUUUUUUUUUAAAGGUACAAUAGAAAAUGUAGUCCACUAUCAUUAAAAUGCAUAUUUACCUUCCUACUACUAAUAAUCAGGAAGGGUUCAUUAUGACUUCUUUAUAUUAUAAAGAAAAGAUGGGGGUUUGGUUUAUAAUUUCUGUGAAUAUUUUAGAAAAAAUGCUUAAAAUCUAGUAGUCAAUGCCCUAGAAACUUUAUAGAUUUGUAGAUAAUAUGCACAGAUACAAAUACAUUAUUCAUUAAAUACAACUCACAUCUGUGUUUUAUUAUACUCUAAAAUAUACAGGAAUCUUGAUGUACUGAAAGAGUGCAAGUAAAUACAGUAUUCAAGCAGUCACUA